rnacentral:rRNA from 1 species
UACGGAAGGGGCAAGCGUUGUUCGGAAUCAUUGGGCGUAAAGAGCGUGUAGGCGGCCUGGUAGGUCGGUUGUGAAAACUUGAGGCUUAACCUCGAGACGUCGACCGAAACCACCUGGCUAGAGUCCGGAAGAGGAGAGUGGAAUUCCUGGUGUAGCGGUGAAAUGCGUAGAGAUCUGGAGGAACACCGAUGGCGAAGGCAGCCUUCUGGGCCAACACUGACGCUCAUGCACGAAAGCGUGGGGAGCAAACAGG